AGUGAACGCUGGCGGUAGGCCUAACACAUGCAAGUCGAACGGCAGCACAGUAAGAGCUUGCUCUUACGGGUGGCGAGUGGCGGACGGGUGAGGAAUACAUCGGAAUCUACUUUUUCGUGGGGGAUAACGUAGGGAAACUUACGCUAAUACCGCAUACGACCUACGGGUGAAAGCAGGGGAUCUUCGGACCUUGCGCGAUUGAAUGAGCCGAUGUCGGAUUAGCUAGUUGGCGGGGUAAAGGCCAACCAAGGCGACGGUCCGUAACUGGUCUGAGAGGAUGAUCAGCCACACUGGAACUGAGCGACGGUCCAGACUCCGACAGGAGGCAGCAGUGGGGAAUAUUGGACAAUGGGCGCAAGCCUGAUCCAGCCAUACCGCGUGGGUGAAAAAGGCCUUCGGGUUGUAAAGCCAUUUUGUUGGGAAAGAAAAGCAGCAGGUUAAUACCCCGCUGUUCUGACGGUACCCAAAGAAUAAGCACCGGCUAACUUCGUG
rnacentral:rRNA from 1 species